UCUUAGAUAUAAAUUAACCUUAUUUACCAGAGUACUACGAACGUUAAGUUUAAAACUCAAAGAGCUUGGCGGUGCUUUAGACUCCUCAGGGGAACCUGUCCCAUAAUCGACAGUCCACGAAUCAACCUCACCUUCUCUAGCAAAUCAGUAUGUAUACCGUCGUCGUCAGGUAACUUUUAAAAAUAUAGAAGUUAGCAAUUAAAAAAAUUAAUUUUUCACGUCAGAUCAAGGUGCAGCCUAUGAAAAGGAGUGGAUGGGUUACAAUUAAUAUUUAUAACUACGAAUUUAACUUUUAACAAGUUUUUGAAGGCGGACUUGAAAGUAAAGCCUAGCAGUUAAAUGCCUUGAAUCAAGCUCUGAAGCG
rnacentral:rRNA from 1 species